GACGAACGCUGGCGGCGCGCUUAACACAUGCAAGUCGAGCGAGAACCAGACCUUCGGGUCUGGGGACAGCGGCGAACGGGUGAAUAACACGUGGGUAAUCAACCCUCGGUACUGGGAUAGCCCGGGGAAACCCGGAUUAAUACCGGAUGGCCCUUCGGAUCUUCGGGUCCGAAGGAAAAGGUAGCUUCGGCCUCCGACCGAGGACGAGCCAGCGGCGGAUUAGCUUGUUGGUGGGGUAACGGCCUACCAAGGCGGCGAUCCGUAGCUGGUCUGAGAGGACGAUCAGCCACACUGGGACUGAGACACGGCCCAGACUUCUACAGAAGGCAGCAGUGGGGAAUCUUGCGCUAAUGCGGGAAACCGUGACGCAGCGACGCCGCGUGAGGGAAGAAGGCCUUCGGGUUGUAAACCUCUUUCAGAAGGGACGAAGCUACUCGGGUUAAUAGCCCAGAGGGUGACGGUACCUUCAGAAGAAGCCCCGGCUAACUACGUGCCAGCCGCCGCAGUAA
rnacentral:rRNA from 1 species